ACUUUAUCAGCUAAUGUUAUGAAGCAACCCAGCAGAUCCAUGCUGCAUAGCUACUGUAAGUUACAGCAAGCUGGCCAACCUUAACUUAAGCACUCAAGACAGUAUUUUGCUAUAUUAGCUGCACACUGUUGGUGCUUUAGGGGAGCUGAAGAGAGGCAAGGCACUCGGGAGUGCUCAUAAACGUCAUAUUCUUUGGAUUUUCCCAGCAAAACAGUCCGAAAUCCUUUCCAUAGAAGUCAG